AGAUCAAACUAUAGAGUUUGAUCCUGGCUCAGAUUGAACGCUGGCGGCAUGCUUUACACAUGCAAGUCGAACGGUAGGGUAGCAAUACCUGAGAGUGGCGAACGGGUGAGUAAUGCAUCGGAACAUGCCUAUUUGUGGGGGAUAGCCCGGCGAAAGCCGGAUUAAUACCGCAUACGAUCUACGGAUGAAAGCUGGGGACCGCAAGGCCUAGCGCAAAUAGAGUGGCCGAUGUCAGAUUAGCUAGUUGGUGGGGUAAAGGCUCACCAAGGCAACGAUCUGUAGCUGGUUUGAGAGAACGACCAGCCACACUGGGACUGAGACACGGCCCAGACUCCUACGGGAGGCAGCAGUGGGGAAUUUUGGACAAUGG
rnacentral:rRNA from 1 species